AAAGUGAAAGAAGCAGUAGCAUAUAUCACGGAAAUUGCUUGCAAUUAUGAGGCUUUAGUGAAACAAUCUAAGGAGAAAUAUAGAAGCAGUAUGGCAGAACAAAUGAGCAAAAGGAAGAAGAAACAAAACAUGAGAAAAGAAAAGAGCAAGAUUAAGUAGAGGAAAAGAAAAUGUAGAAGAAGAUAUUGCCAUUGAGAUUAUAGAUCAGGAAGACAUGCAGUGUCAGUUUGAUAGAUGAAGGGGAUAAUGGUAGUUUGAUUGUAGAUGAAGAUAGUGUCAGUUUGAUUGUAGAG